rnacentral:lncRNA from 1 species
UUCUCCUUUAUUUUCAGAACAAUUUCGCACCUCCCUCCUCUGCACAAACUUCCAGCAGAAGUUUCUACUGGAAUUGACAGUAAGGGGUAUGGGGCCAGCCUCCUGGAGAGACCAGAAAGCAACAGAAGUUUCAGGACAGAACUGGCCACAUGAUCAGACACCCCAGUGACCACAGGUAAUCUCCACCCCCAGUUCUGGAAGCCUCAGCCCCAGGCACCCAGGCUAU